CCAAUUACGCAGUGUUUUUGACCAAACCGAGGAGGUAAAGCACUGAGUUUUCACCUGGGUAGCCUACUGAAGAAUCUAAUAUCUGAUUGGUGAGAAGAAGCUGCAGGUACAGAGCUGAAGGACCAAUGGAACCCCCAACCAGAAUGCAAUGCCCGGUGCUGUAUGGAUACAUCCACAAUGUAUCGCCCAUUACAAGGAGCUGGAAAGACAAAAAAUACUUCACUGCCAUUUUGCAAGAAGAAACACAACGACGCAAUAUUAUUGGCUUCGGCGACAGGUGGUAUGCCACUUUUCAAAACUCCAGUAGCCAAAGAAAACCUGUCAGAAUCACCAAUUCAAAAAUCGAGCCAUCCAGACAGAAUCCCUCUGAGCUAGUCACCUUAAUAUCUGAACACACCAAAGUGGACAUCAUCCCAAGCUUGCCCUUCGACCAUGAUCCCACUGUUACUGCUACCCAAACCACUUAGGCAGAGAUCCUUGCAAGGCCUUCUGUCCAGCGCCAGGUAAACCCUCAAUACAACAUACAUUACAUCAAUAUCAUAACAGCCUAUAAUGCCUGCUUUCAUAUCAACUGUUACAAUAGUACAACUUUAUUUUAUCAUACAUAAUUACAUAUAUAACAAUUACCCCUUUGCGUUAUCAUAUAUAAUACCUAAACGCAUUGCAAACUAUU